GUGGAUGUAGCUCAAUUUGCAGAGUGCUUACCUAGCUUGCUGGAGGCCCUGGGUUUGAUUCCCUGCAUGCACU
rnacentral:tRNA from 1 species